UUUAAAGGUGAUAUCCAGGUAUCCAUACAAAGCUCCAUACUAAAAAAGAAAGGAACAUAUGAUCAGGAUUACGGAUGACACUGUUCACAUUUUGUUUGUCGGACUAUAUAUGUCUUAAGGACAAUUAACCAUCUCCAUAUCCAUACGAUGAACCGUCAACAUGAAAA